rnacentral:rRNA from 1 species
GACGAACGCUGGCGGCGUGCUUAACACAUGCAAGUCGAGCGGUAAGGCCCUUUCGGGGGUACGACGAGCGGCGAACGGGUGAGUAACACGUGGGUGACCUGCCCUCAGCUCGUGGGAAUAAGGACCCGUGGGAAAACCGGGUCUAAUACCGGAUAUGACUCCGUGACGCAUGUUGUGGGGUGGAAAAGCCUUUGUGCGGCUGA